UACGUAGGGUGCGAGCGUUGUCCGGAAUUAUUGGGCGUAAAGGGCUCGUAGGCGGUUUGUCGCGUCGGGAGUGAAAACACCGGGCUUAACUCGGUGCUUGCUUUCGAUACGGGCAGACUAGAGGUAUGCAGGGGAGAACGGAAUUCCUGGUGUAGCGGUGAAAUGCGCAGAUAUCAGGAGGAACACCGGUGGCGAAGGCGGUUCUCUGGGCCGAUACUGACGCUGAGGAGCGAAAGCGUGGGGAGCGAACAGG
rnacentral:rRNA from 1 species